ACUCAAAUGAAUUGACGGGGGCCCGCACAAGCGGUGGAGCAUGUGGUUUAAUUCGAUGCAACGCGAAGAACCUUACCUGGGUUUGAAAUCCCCAGACAGCCCCAGAGAUGGGGUUUUCUCUUCGGAGACUGGGAGUACAGGUGCUGCAUGGCUGUCGUCAGCUCGUAUCGUGAGAUGUCGGGUUAAGUCCCUUAACGAGCGCAACCCUUGUCCUUAGUUGCCACCAUUAAGUUGGGCACUCUAAGGAGACUGCCGGUGUUAAACCGGAGGAAGGUGGGGAUGACGUCAAGUCCUCAUGGCCCUUAUGUCCAGGGCUACACACGUGCUACAAUGGCCGGUACAAAGGGUUGCCAACCUGCAAAGGGGAGCUAAUCUCAGAAAGCCGGUCUCAGUUCGGAUUGAAGUCUGCAACUCGACUUCAUGAAGCUGGAAUCGCUAGUAAUCGCGGAUCAGAACGCCGCGGUGAAUACGUUCCCGGGCCUUGUACACACCGCCCGU
rnacentral:rRNA from 1 species